rnacentral:rRNA from 1 species
UACGGAGGAUGCGAGCGUUAUCCGGAUUUAUUGGGUUUAAAGGGUGCGUAGGCGGUCGGAUAAGUUAGAGGUGAAAUCCCGGGGCUCAACUUCGGAAUUGCCUCUGAUACUGUUCGGCUAGAGAGUAGUUGCGGUAGGCGGAAUGUAUGGUGUAGCGGUGAAAUGCUUAGAGAUCAUACAGAACACCGAUUGCGAAGGCAGCUUACCAAGCUACUUCUGACGUUGAGGCACGAAAGCGUGGGGAGCAAACAGG